GAUGGUAUAGCUCAUUGGUAGAGUGCAUGCCUAGCAUGUAUGCACAAGGUCCUGGGUUCAAUCCCCAGUACCUCCA
rnacentral:tRNA from 1 species